GCUCACAGCCUGACAUACAUAGAAUACAGUACUAUGGCACUGGCUAUUGAGAAAAGAAAGAGCUUUAUUGCAAGGUCGAUAAGCAAGGAAACA